AACAUUUGUUUAUUUUACAUUUAAUGGAGUUUCAGAUUGAGUAAAUCGACGAGAUUUUAAUUUGUCACAGGCAAUGUCGUGCACGAUCAGAUAACUUAUGACUCAGUAACAAAAAUUCCAGUAGUCAUCAAGAAAAAAUUUAAAACAUAUUAUAAAAUGGCAAAAGAAUGAAUAGAUACUUACGAGAAACACGGAAGAAAAGUAUGGAAGCAUCAAACAUUAAACAAGAUACGCCCAUUGCAAUCAAAGAUUCAUAUAAACAGUGG